rnacentral:tRNA from 1 species
GUCCUUGUAGCUCAGCUGGAUAGAGCGUUUGCCUCCGGUGCAAAAGGCCAGGGGUUCGAAUCCCUUCAAGGACACCA